AUGCAGUUUUCUGGGACCAGCUUUUUAACCGUGGACUUUCCAUGGAAGAUGGAUACAUACAUCUGCCUUAUUCGGUGUUGCCGUUCACUCUCACCCUCCCAUGGAGAUGUCGCCGACAAUGCUGCCACACAUGUCCCUGCAAUCGUCACCCCCAUCCUCAUGUCUAGAGGCUUUCUUUACAAAAGAAAAAUUCACUCCCAUUGCCGCGAUGCUCCGCCUCCGAAACCACCUCCGCCGCCUCCCCUUCUCCACCGGCACCGCCUUCGUUCACACCCCGCCCAGUUCGUCGUCGAGGACUACCUCGUCGCCACCUGCGGCCUCGCACCAGCGCAAGCCCUCAAGGCCUCGAAAUUCCUCGUCCCCCGUCUCAAGUCGCCCGCCAAUGCCGACGCCGUCCGCGCAUUCCUCGCCGACGCCGGCAUCGCGAAAGCCGACAUCGCCUCGGCGAUUGCCUUGGACGCUCGGUUCCUCUGCUCCAGCGUGGACAAAACCAUAUCCCCACGCGUCGCCCGGCUCCGGAAAUGGGCUCUCCCCUCCCCAGAUCUCCCGCCUCAUCACCAUGUCCAGGGGAUCUUUCUCAAUCCCGCCGGAAUCUCCCGCCUCGAGUUCUACAUCUCCUUGUUGGGCUCCUACGACAAGGUGGAAGCCGCACUGAGGAGUAACCUCCAUCUCCUCAGCCAAAGUGUAGAUAAGGUGGUCAAGCCUAACAUGGCCUUCUUGCAGCAGUGCGGCCUAAGUGCUUGUGAUAUUGCCUGGCUCUACUUGUGCACCGGCAAACUGCUCACAAAUAACUUAGAGCAUCUGAAGGAAAUGGUGGCACGCGCUGAAAAGCUAGGUGUGCACCGUUCUUCGGGGAUGUUCAAGUCAGCCUUGGUCACCGUCUGCAACCUUACUCCUGAGAUGACUAGAGCCAAAAUUGAGUCAUUGGAGAGGGCUCUUGGAUAUUGUGAGGUCAAGCUGGCUGUGUCCAAGUUGCCACGCAUCCUUACUUUGUCAGAGGUCACGAUGGGUCACAAGGUGGAGUUCCUGAGGACGGAAUUUGGGUUGGAACCUUCAUACAUCGCACGAAGGCCGUCCAUUCUGACAUGCAGCUUGGAGAGGCGGCUGAUCCCAAGGCAUUAUGUCAUAUAUGUUCUCAAGGAGAAAGGGUUGGUUAAGAGAGACAUCGACUUGUUCGGCGUGUUUUGCAUGAGUCACAAGAAAUUUGUAGAGACGUAUCUUGACCGUCAAUGA
rnacentral:rRNA from 1 species